rnacentral:misc_RNA from 1 species
CCGCAACAACUCUUUCUCCCUAGAAACCCUUUGAACCAAAGGCCACAAGGAGCAUCAACAAACACUGCCGCUAAUCUCCCCAUGCUUGAAUCUGCAUAGUCAGCCAACGGCAAGCAAAGCUUUGCCAUUAAGAGCAAACAUAAUGGCAAACCCUGCACAAACAAUCCAAUGAAGCCCUACCCUAGCCAGCCAUAUAAGCUUAAAACCACAAGAAUAGAGCUAUCGUCGGAGACUUCUAGUGGGAGACACAAAGCAGAGCUCCCCACAGCAUUUCAAUCUCGUUUAAUCUCACGGGUCGUAUACCAUCAUAAUUGACUUGCCCUUAGACCCUAGAAAGUACCUCACAUCACUUAAAGGAGACCACCCUUCUGACUUAGCUUAUGCCAUACCCAACUAGUCCACUGGCCUCUUCCAAAUAACAAUCUCCCCCUGACCUUCAAAAAAACCGCCCCACAUCUGAGCCUUGAGG